rnacentral:rRNA from 1 species
UACGGGGGGGGCAAGCGUUGUUCGGAAUUACUGGGCGUAAAGGGCUCGUAGGCGGCCAACUAAGUCAGACGUGAAAUCCCCAGGCUUAACCUGGGAACUGCGUCUGAUACUGGAUGGCUUGAAUUCGGGAGAGGGAUGCAGAAUUCCAGGUGUAGCGGUGAAAUGCGUAGAUAUCUGGAGGAAUACCGGUGGCGAAGGCGGCAUCCUGGACCGACAUUGACGCUGAGGAGCGAAAGCGUGGGGAGCGAUCCGG